UACGGAGGGUGCAAGCGUUAAUCGGAAUUACUGGGCGUAAAGCGUGCGUAGGCGGUUCGUUAAGUCUGUUGUGAAAGCCCCGGGCUCAACCUGGGAAUGGCAAUGGAUACUGGCGAGCUAGAGUGUGUCAGAGGAUGGUGGAAUUCCCGGUGUAGCGGUGAAAUGCGUAGAGAUCGGGAGGAACAUCAGUGGCGAAGGCGGCCAUCUGGGACAACACUGACGCUCAUGCACGAAAGCGUGGGGAGCAAACAGG
rnacentral:rRNA from 1 species